CCUACGGGAGGCAGCAGUAGGGAAUAUUGCUCAAUGGGGGAAACCCUGAAGCAGCAACGCCGCGUGGAGGAUGAAGGUUUUCGGAGUGUAAACUCCUUUUGGUAGAGAAGAAAAUUACGGUAUCUAACUAAUAAUCACCGGCUAUCUCCGUUCCAGCAGCCGCGGUAACACGCAGGGGGCAAGCGUUAUCCGGAUUUACUGGGUGUAAAGGGAGCGGAGGCGGGAAGGCAAGUCAGAAGUGAAAGACAUGGGCUCAACCAUGGGACUGCAUUUGAAACUGUCAACCUAGAGUGGCGGAGAGGUAGGCGGAAUUCCUAGUGUAGCGGUGAAAUGCGUAGAUAUUAGGAGGAACACCAGUGGCGAAGGCGUCUUACUGGACCGCAACUGACGUUGAGGCUCGAAAGCGUGGGGAGCAAACAGGAUUAGAUACCCGAGUAGUC
rnacentral:rRNA from 1 species